CACCACCAAUCCAUCAUUGCCAUCUUCAUCCACUGCUCUCUGCCAUCCACCACAGAUACCACCAGCUGUUACACAAUAGUAGAAAGCAUCAUAAAAACACAAGUAACUUUCACACAGUGCAACCCUUAUGUAACAGAAACAUAAUCCCAGGCACAAUCAAGCAAGAAAUCUAAAAUCACAGGCACAACACAAGGAGGUCGAAACCAGCAAGCAUAAACAAUACAAUGGAGAAAGGGAUGAAAAGACAAAUAGACCAAGUUUCCGGUUGAGGAAAGGG
rnacentral:lncRNA from 1 species